rnacentral:rRNA from 1 species
AUUGAACGCUGGCGGAAUGCUUUACACAUGCAAGUCGAACGGCAGCACGGGGCAACCUGGUGGCGAGUGGCGAACGGGUGAGUAAUACAUCGGAACGUGCCCAGUCGUGGGGGAUAACGUAGCGAAAGUUACGCUAAUACCGCAUACGAUCUAUGGAUGAAAGCGGGGGAUCGCAAGACCUCGCGCGAUUGGAGCGGCCGAUGUCAGAUUAGGUAGUUGGUGGGGUAAAGGCCUACCAAGCCGACGAUCUGUAGCUGGUCUGAGAGGACGACCAGCCACACUGGGACUGAGACACGGCCCAGACUCCUACGGGAGGCAGCAGUGGGGAAUUUUGGACAAUGGGCGCAAGCCUGAUCCAGCCAUUCCGCGUGCAGGAUGAAGG